UUCGAUCACCGAAGUCAAGCAUCAUCGGGCUCUGUCGGUACUUGGGAGGGUGACCACCUGGGAGCACCGUGUGCCGUCG